GUGAUUGAAAGUCAAACUGAGAUCCACAUGCCAGUCCAGUUGUUGGUGGUAAUGCACCUUAAAGUUGGUGGCCUACUGCCAUAUAAAGUACGAAGAAGCCUGAAGGAGGAGAGAUUACUAGAAAACAAACGUUUACCUGUGGAUUAAUUAUCGGAGUAGAAGACUUUGUGCAUUUCAGUUUGGAUAUUUCAACCUGCGUGUCCGGUGUGGGAGGACAAAACCAGCAUGUACGAGUUACGCCUAAAUGGCAGUGGACAAGACUAACCCUGAACAGCCAACUUUCUCAAACUGGCAAUGAAGCCACAUGGUAAAUGGUAAUAUGCUCUAAACCGCUCUGUGCUGCCCUGUUUCCAAUCGUCCACAUGGCUGCGAGAACCUAUUCAAGUAAGUAAAUCCAUUUCGAAUGUAAACUAUAUUAUUAGCUACAGUGCAGUCUAACUCAAAUGAGCUGCUAACGUAACUAACUAGCUAGCUAUCUAGCCAACUUUACACUGCAAGGUUUGGUGACCAGGGCCAUCUGGGACUGCCUCCUGAGGGCCUUCAGGCGUGUCAAGGCUACCUGUGUCCUGCAUAACUUAAUGGACACGAGGACCAGGAGGGGGAUCUACAGCUUGCCGCCGUGUGCCAGAGGAGAGGUCUACAGGAUGUUUCAAGGAUAGGGGCAAAUAACUGGGCACAGGAGGCAAUCCAUGUGUGGGCGAUCUUCACCACCUUCUUCAAAGAGGGUGUUGUUCCCUGGCAACACCAUAGACUACACUAUGCACAACCAAAUGCUUCUUAAGAGCCAUCCACAUUGCAAUAAGAGUAUUCUUCCAUUUACUUAGCUAUGUCAACUGCAGUUAUUCAAUUCCAGGUUUCAUUCCUUUUGAUUUAUACUUCAGGUGAGGGUUCUGUCUGUA